AUAGCCCUGAUUUAGACAACUUCUCUGUCAAUGGGCAUCUUAGAAAAAGACCCUGAGAUUGCUCUUUUCUUCCCCCUGGGCACCGUCAGGUCUGCUUGCCUUUCUGGGUCCUGCCAAGUCCCACUCAGUUCUCUCCACAAGCCGUGGGAGUGCCACUGCCUGGCUUCCCACGCCAGGCCCCUCCAGCCCACGUCCUAUCGGUUCUUCUGCAGAGUCUGACUUUGAAAGUGAUUCAAGGCCACUCCGCUCCUCUGCCUCCUUCAGCUCACAGACACUGGGUCUGCUGAGUCUGUGCUUCUCGAACGUCAGCCGACCCUUCAUCACCUUCACUUCUGCCGCUUCUACGUGCUGCCUGUUCCAGUAUCCACGGCCUUUUCCUGUGAGCUAACUUCAAACCAACUUCUUUAUUAGUUCUCUGGCAGCUGACCUGAUGUGCUAAUACUUAUUUUAACAUGCAUCAGAAAACACAUAACUGGGAAGACGAAAAUGUUCCUCUGCAUCUGCCUGAAUUCCUCUUGCAGACCGCCAGUGCACCCCUCGGAUACCCGGCCCCAGGACGUUCUUCUCACGCGGGUCAGGAGCACGCGUCCUUCCAUAAGACGUCCCUGUGCUACUCAGUGGCAGGGUCCUCUCCCCUGUGAGCGCUGCGUGUGGGAAAUCUAGAGUGCGCCAACGGUGAUGAGGUGGCUCCCAGGUGCCAGGGACCGCGCUGACAACAGGAGUAGGUGUCAUCAUGCUCACCGUUCAGAUGACAGAACGGAAGCUGUGGUGGCUUGUUUGACACGAAAACUGAGGGUCAGAAAGAGAAGGGGACUUAGCCAAGGUUAUAUGACUAGAAAGUGACAGAGGUGUUCUCGGACUCUUUUCGUGAUGGACUGUCUUCCCUCGGGGUUCCAGGCAGAUGGAGUUUUUCUUAAAUGAUUACCGAGAGGCACAGAGAAAUAUAUUUUCCCGGCUCCCCCGGCUCCGCUGUUGAAACUGCAGUCUGUUGCGACCACCCUGACUUCUCGACGUUUCCUGCUUCUUGGAAGAUGCAGGGAGGCCUCCUCCUUCCAGGGGUGUAGCUUCAAGACGUCUGAGCCUCCAUCAGCCUGGGUCUUUGACGAGACGUGUGGAAGAGUGACGCCACCAAGCCACACUGAACGUGUGACAGGGGCAGGAAAUAAGAACAGAAAUCUUCGUGUGACCUAACUAGUCCCUGGGAAAGUCAUCAAAUAGCAGGCAACCAAUGAUAAAAUGACGACUGGCAUCUUGAAAUCUAGUAAAAGUUUCUGUUUCGUAGCCAUAGAAUAACAGAAAAGUGUUUACCACCCUACAAGGUCCCACAGGACCAGAACGUACUCGGCUGGUGAGGUCGACUCUAAAAGCCUGUUGGAAAAGUACCACGAGCACAAGUAACAGGAACAACUACAACAGCUACCUCAUCUGAGUGCUCGGAGAGCGCCAGGACCCGCCAUCUCCUUCAAAUUUCACAAGGAAGCUUGGAGGGAGUUAUUAUUACAAUUGUCCCCAUCUGACAAAUGAAAAUCUCUAAAAGCAGUCAUUUCACUGUAAUAGUUUACAACAACAGAGUGGGAGAGAAUGUGCAUCUAGGUUGGUUUGUUUCACACCCUGUAGUCCUGGUGUCAGUUUAUGCCAAUGACCAUGACUUGAGUAUCAGGGCAGCCGGCCUCGAGUGGCACAGAAAUGAAGGAAGGAAACCUCUAGUAUGUCUACUAUGUAAAGAAGUUCACGGACAGUGUUGGAUGCCAGUCCUUCCAGGAAUAAAUACGUCCAAUCUUUCUAAAAAUAAAACAAUAGAAGCUCA